UGGGGUGCAGCUCAGUGGUAGAGUGCUUGCCUAGCAUGCACCAAGACCCUGGGUUUGAUUCUCAAUACCUUAA
rnacentral:tRNA from 1 species